rnacentral:rRNA from 1 species
UACGAAGGGGGCUAGCGUUGCUCGGAAUUACUGGGCGUAAAGGGCGCGUAGGCGGCUCUGUUAGUCAGGCGUGAAAGUCCUGGGCUCAACCUGGGAACUGCGCUUGAUACGGCAGGGCUAGAGGAUGGAAGAGGGAAGUGGAAUUUCCGGUGUAGCGGUGAAAUGCGUAGAUAUCGGAAGGAACAUCAGUGGCGAAAGCGACUUCCUGGACCGAGAUUGACGCUGAGGCGCGAAAGCUAGGGGAGCCAAACGGG